rnacentral:rRNA from 1 species
AUGGCUACGGUCGCGUCCGGCGACGAGGAGCGCAGGUGCGCUCGCCGGCGGCGUGAGGACGACGCAGGUGAGCCGAUUCAGCAACGGGGCGUCGCGGCUGAUUGUGGGGAUGGAGGCUGGGGCGGCUCGGCGGGCCUUGGGUCGGUCUGCAGCAGGCCCCUUGGUGCGGUCAAAGCAAUUGCAAGAGGGGCCAAAUUGCAAAUCUCAAAUAUGGCGGUUGUUUCUGCGGCAUCUGAUGAAAACCAGAUCCGACGACUACAUCACCUCGAGUACGUACUACACAUUAUAUUGCAGCCUCCCUCCUCCAUGGCUCCAAGCCAGCAGACCUGCCUAGAAGCCUGCAUCCAUCUGCAAAGCAUGAGGGGCCGCGACCUCACCGGCUCGCUGCCGGACGAGGUCCUGCAGCACGUGCUCUCCUUCCUGCCGUCGCGCGAAGCCGUCCAGACUUCCGUGCUCUCCCGGCGCUGGCGCCACCUCUGGAAAUCCACCCCUUCCGUCCGCGUCAGCGGCCGGGGAGACGGCUUUCGCCUCUUCGUCAACAGCCUGCUGCGCCACCGGAACGACGCCUCGCCGCUGCGCACCUUCGAGAUCGACGACCUCGUGAAAGCCCCCCAGCCGUCCACCAACUUCUUCUUCGACGACGACGUCGUCCCGGAAACCGAUCCCCACCCCGACGUCGACCUGUGGAUCAGGCACGCCUUGUCCACGUGCCGUGCCACCUCGCUCACGGCACUCUUCGACGAAGAGGGCUUGCUGCCAUGGCGUCCCCGUCCCCCUUUCUCCUUCACGUCCAGCCACCUCACGACCAUGCACCUCGAGUUCGUCGAGCUCGCCGACGGCCUCCUCGACUUCUCCCCCUGCCCGGCGCUCCUGCGGCUCAGCCUCAGCGGAUGCCGCCUCGACGGCGACGCCAUCGUCUCGCCCUCGCUGGAGCGCCUCAGCAUAAUCCGCUGCGACAUUCCGAUCGGCCGGAACACGGCCGGUCGGACCGCCACGAUGAGGAUCUCCACGCCGAACCUCCGUCAUCUGGAGAUAUCCGAUAGCUGUGACGGGGAACAGACACCUCCCUCCCUCGACAGCAUGCCUUUGUUGACGACGGCGAGCAUCCGGUUCACGGGCAGCACCCGGAUUUACCCCACCAAUGGUGACGCUUCCUUGCUUCUGCAUGGCUUGUCAGAGGCCACGACCUUGGAGCUUACGGCUUCGACUCCUGAUGGAAAGGCAAUCCUACAAGGUGACUUGAGAUGGUGCCCUACAUUCACCGAGUUAAAGACUUUGAUACUGAACGAGUGGUGUCUAUAUGACGAUGUAACUGCGCUCGCAUGCCUUCUGCGGCACACACCAGCACUAGAGAGUUUGCAACUUGAUUUCAAGAGCAGCGAUACACUCCAGGAGAAAAUAAAAGGAAGUUGUAUCAUAUUAAAAGAGUUAUUUCCUACGCUUGAAAACCUGAAGGCAGUGAAGAUCAGAAGGCACUGCUCAUAUUCUGACACAAAGAACCACGAAAUUUUGAAGUUGUUCCGUGAUUUGGGCAUACCUCGGUGUAAAGUUAAGUAUGCUCUGAACUUUGAAGCAGUGGAUGCCGCUAUGGAGGGGAAAAACGCAAGAGGGGGUCAAGAAGACGGUAGGAUGCAUCUCGGCUCAGAUUGCAUAACUGAAGCAGGAAUCGACGCUUCGCGAGGAUCCAAGCGGUGUAGGAUAGAACGUAGUCUGCUAUGA